rnacentral:lncRNA from 1 species
ACUUGACCACUGAGCCACAUCCUCAGCCCUUUUUUAUAUUUUAUUUGGAGACAGGGUCUUACUGAGUUGCUUAGCACCUUGCUUUUUGCUAAGGCUGGCUUUGAACUCAUGAUCCUCCUGCCUCAGCUUCCUGAGCUGCUGGGAUUAUAGGCGUGCUCCACCAUGCCCAGCUUCCAGGUGUUUUUUUUUUGUUUGUUUGUUUGCUUGUUUUUUGUAGUUUUAGGUGGACAGAAUGCCUUCAUUUUAUUUGUUUAUAUUAUUAUUUUUUUUAGUUGUAGAUGGAUAUAAUACCUUUAUUUGUUUUUAUUUUUAUGUGGUGCUUUGGAUCCAACCCAAUGCCUCAUGCAUGCUAGGCAAGUGCUCUGCCACUGAGCUAUAGCCCCAGCCCUCCAGGUGUCUUUUGUUAUUGACUACGAAUAUUAAAUUUCAUUGUGGUCAGAGAAUAUAUUUUGUAUGAUUGAGUCCUUUUAAAUUUAUUCAGCCUUUAAAAAAUAUUUUUAGUUAUAAUGAAUAGGCAUUAUAUUUUUGUAUAGGCCUUUAUUUAUGUAUUUUUAUGUGGUGCUGAGAAUCGAACCCAGUGCCUCACAUGUGCUAGGCAAGUGCUCUACACUGAGCCCCUAUUCAGACUUGUUUUAUGGCCCAGAAUAUAGUCUAUCUUGAUAAAUGUCCUAUAUGCAGCAUAAUUAUUCAGAGAGAAAGAUGAUGAUCGCAUAUAUAAAAUUCUAGAAAAUGCAUACUAGUCUAAGGUGGCCGCAGAUCACUGGUUUCCUGAACUUCACUGUCUCUAAAAUACAAAAUAGAGCUGGGGAUGUGGUUCAGAGGUUGAGUGCCCCUGGGUUCAAUCCCCAGUACCAAAAAAAAAAAAAAAUUUAAAAAGACACCUGAAAAACCUCCAAAUAUUUGUAAACUACAUAACACAUUUAUAAAUAACUCUGAGUCAAAGUAGAAAUCAAAAGGGAAAUCAGUAUUUUGAACUGAAUGAUGAUGAAAAUACAAUGCAUAAAAAUUUGUGGGGGGGGGGCUGGGGUUGUGGCUCAGUGGUAGCUCAGUGGUAGCUUGCUCAACUAGCAUGUAUGAGGCACUGGGUUCGAUCCUCCUCAGCACCACAUACAUGUAAAAUAAAGAUAUUGUUUCCACCUAAAACUAAGAAAUAAAAUAAAUAUUAAAAAAAAUUUUGUGUGAGGGGGCUGGGGUUGUGGCUCAGUGGUAGAGCACUCACCUAGCAUGUGUGAAGCCCUGGGUUCAAUCCUCAGCACCACAUAAAGAUAAAUAUAUUGUGUUCAUCUACAAUUAAAAUAUAUAUUUUUAAAAAAUUUGUGUGAGGGCUGGGGAUGUGGCUCAAGCGGUAGCGUGCUCGCCUGGCAUGCACGGGGCACUGGGUUCAAUCCUCAGCACCACAUAAAAAUAAAAUAAAGAUGUUGUGUCCACCGAAAACUAAAAAAUAAAUAUUAAAAAAUUCUCUCUCUCUCUCUCUCUCUCUCUCUCUCUCUCUCUCUCUCUCUCUCUCUUUAAAAAAAAAUUGUGUGAAUCAGAACUGGAUGUCUGUCCUGUUCAGGGUGACCCCAGAGUUGAGGACUUACCUCCCCUGAGCCUUGAUGUUGUCAUCUGUACAAUGGACUAAAGCCACCUAUUUCAGUAGCAGCUGAGAGCUGCUACUCUACCUGGCCACCCUGGGGGUAGGUGAGGGCAGGUUCCAGCAGGGUUUGUUUACUUUAGCAAACAUAUACAACAGUUACUAGCAGUUACUGUGUGCCAGGCCCUGGUCUGGGCCACUUGCCAAAACAGAAGUAGUUCAUUAAGACUCAUAAACACUCUGUAAGGAAGACAUUCCCAUGCUUUUAUAGAUCCUGAACUGGAGGUACAGAGGGGGUAAGUGCCUUGCCCCAAGUCACACAGGUAGACACGCAAUGGCUGAGCCAGGACUUGAAUGCAGGCUACCAGGAUAGAGUCUGUCCCUUGUGUCCCAGCUUAAUGGAGGGACACUGAAAGGUUUCAAAUGGAGGAGGAGAAUGGUGAGAUUCCUGUACAGUAAAAUCACUGGGGAUGGGAGGGGAACAGACACAGACACUAACAGGACUGGGAGUCCUGUAGAGCUAGUACUUGCCUAGGGAGGGAGAAGCCUGAGUUCAAUCCCCAGCAAUGAAUGGUGCCUUGGGACACACCAAAUAUUUAGGAAGCUGAAGCUACAGAAUGUGGUCGUGUAUUAGAAAUACACUAUUCCUGGAGGAGGUGGCUAAACAGAAAAGUAUGUGCAGGGAUCCAGGCUGGAGGGUUCAAGGAACAGAUGACCUGAUGAGCCAUCUGAGGACAGGGUACACAGCAUGCUGAGAAUCCCUUUUAAAAGUGUUCUGACCUGGUAAGAAGGAGAAAGUGUCCCUAAGGGAACAUGUGAGCAGAAGGUACACUAGAAAUUAAUUAAAUGAGGAACAGCCUGUGCACUGCCCUGUGGGGGUACAUCAUGGAGAGAGGGACAGCUUAGACCUGGAGGGGAUACAGGGUGACCUGAGGGCACACAGGUGGCAGCAGACAUCAAUCUGCAGAGCUGUGAAAGCCCCACAAUGGAGCUCUUCUCCUGGGAAUGAUGGGAAAUCACUGAGAGUGUGCAGGGAGGAAUGACGGGGUCAGAGCUGUGUGUUUUUUCAGUGGUGCUGGUGAGGAGACCCAGGUAGGCAAGCACUCUACCAGGAGCCACCCUGGACUGAGGUGUGUUCUUGAAGUUCACCCUUUUAUGGGUUGGGACAGAACAGACCUGAUGCUGCAAGCAGUUAGGAGGUCUUGCAUGUGAGUGAUGGCUGUGUGAGUGAGGGAGGCACAUGGAAAAAGUUGGGGGAUGAAGAUGGAGAGCAGAGGAUAAUUCAAGGUGUACUUAGGCACUAAUUUUGAAAAAUAUAAAAUUAGCUAGGCGCAGUGUUGCACAUCUAUAAUCUCAGCACUCGGAGGCUGAGACUGGAGGAUCGUGGAUUCAAAGCCAGCCUCAGCAAAAGCGAGAUGCUAAGCAACUCAGUGGUUAACUGCCCCUGGGUUCAGCCCCUGGUACCCCCCUCCAAAAAAAAAAAACCAACAACCUAUAAUAGAAGGAAGAUCAGUAGAGGAAGAGGAAUAGGGGGAGGCAGGAGGGGAGAGAAAGAGAAAGUACUGGGAACUGAAGUGGAGCAAACUAUAAUCCAUGCAUGUAUGAUUAUGUCAAAAUGAAACCAACAGGGCUGGGGAUGUGGCUCAAGUGGUAUCGUGCUCGCCUGGCAUGCAUGCAGCCAGGGGUCGAUCCUCAGCACCACAUACAAAGAUGUUGUGUC